ACUAAAGCCUCCUUUGGUUUACCAGUGAAGACCAGUGUAGUGCAAUGAGGGAUAGUAAACUCACUGGUAUGCUGUUUGGUUCAACAGCACAGUGCAGUGAAAACUUAUUUCAGCCACACUGAUAUGCUGAAAACAGGCUGGAGGAUUCAGCUGCAGUGAAAGCCAGUAUAAUUGUAGGUAUUUUUUUGAGACAAACAUACCCAUACUUUUAUUUAUUAUUUUACCAUUUUAGCCUUAAAACUUAAAUUAAUUUCUUCCGCAACCACAGUUAUUUUCAGAUUUGGAAACGGAACAGCCAUUUCCUUUUUCAUAUUUGAGAAGUAAAACACUAAUUUCUUCCCUCUUUUUUGCUUUGUUCUUGAUUGUGGCUGCUUUUUGAAGGUUGGAGGCUCUGAGGUGCCUACUUCAUUUGUUAGUGUGGAAGCAGGCAAGAUGGUAAAGACAUGAAAAUUUGUGGAGGGAGAUAGUACCUUAGCAACAAAAGUUGUUUGGGAUGAUGAGCUGACGUUGAUAUUUUAUGAGCUUUGCGUGAAUGAAGUCAAUGCUGGUAAUAGACCAACAACUCAUCUAAACUCAAAAGGAUGGGAAAAUGUCGUUGCUCUUUUUCAAGCAAAAACACAAAAAAAAAUUAUGAAAAACCUCAAUUGAAAAACAAGUGGGAUACAUUAAAAAAGGAAUGGAGGUUAUGGAGGGAGUUGCUUAAGGAAUCUAUAGGUAUUGGAUGGUGUCCAUCUAAAAAGACGGUCGAUGCGACCGAAGAAUGGUGGGCUGAAAAAA